UACGUAGGGUGCAAGCGUUGUCCGGAAUUAUUGGGCGUAAAGAGCUCGUAGGCGGUGUGUCACGUCGGCCGUGAAAACCUGCAGCUUAACUGUGGGCUUGCGGUCGAUACGGGCAUCACUGGAGUUCGGCAGGGGAGACUGGAAUUCCUGGUGUAGCGGUGAAAUGCGCAGAUAUCAGGAGGAACACCGGUGGCGAAGGCGGGUCUCUGGGCCGAUACUGACGCUGGAGGCGCGAAAGCUAGGGUAGCAAACGGG
rnacentral:rRNA from 1 species